rnacentral:rRNA from 1 species
UACGUAGGGUGCGAGCGUUAAUCGGAGUUACUGGGCGUAAAGCGUGCGCAGGCGGCUUUGCAAGACAGAUGUGAAAUCCCCGGGCUCAACCUGGGAACUGCAUUUGUGACUGCAUGGCUGGAGUGCGGCAGAGGGGGAUGGAAUUCCGCGUGUAGCAGUGAAAUGCGUAGAUAUGCGGAGGAGCACCGAUGGCGAAGGCAAUCCCCUGGGCCUGCACUGACGCUCAUGCACGAAAGCGUGGGGAGCAAACAGG